rnacentral:rRNA from 1 species
CCUACGGGAGGCAGCAGUGAGGAAUAUUGGUCAAUGGGCUUACGCCUGAACCAGCCAAGUCGCGUGAGGGAAGACUGCCCUAUGGGUUGUAAACCUCUUUUGUCAGGGAGCAACGCCGGCUACGUGUAGCCGGACUGAGAGUACCUGAAGAAAAAGCAUCGGCUAACUCCGUGCCAGCAGCCGCGGUAAUACGGAGGAUGCGAGCGUUCUCCGGAUUUAUUGGGUUUAAAGGGUGCGUAGGCGGAAUGCCAAGUCAGCGGUAAAAUCGCGGGGCUCAACCUCGCUCCGCCGUUGAAACUGGCGGUCUUGAGGGGGCGAGAAGUAGGCGGAAUGCGUGGUGUAGCGGUGAAAUGCAUAGAUAUCACGCAGAACUCCGAUUGCGAAGGCAGCAUACCGGCGCCCAACUGACGCUGAAGCACGAAAGCGUGGGUAUCGAACAGGAUUAGAUACCCCUGUAGUC